rnacentral:rRNA from 1 species
GUGGCUUAGAUACCCGGGUAGUCCAUGCCGUAAACGGUGGGCGCUAGGUGUGGGGUUCCUUCCACGGGCUCCGCGCCGUAGCUAACGCAUUAAGCGCCCCGCCUGGGGAGUACGGCCGCAAGGCUAAAACUCAAAGAAAUUGACGGGGGCCCGCACAAGCGGCGGAGCAUGUGGAUUAAUUCGAUGCAACGCGAAGAACCUUACCUGGGCUUGACAUAUAGAGGAUCGCUACAGAGAUGUGGUUUCCCUUGUGGCUUCUAUACAGGUGGUGCACGGUCGUCGACAACU